GGUUAAGCGACUAAGCGUACACGGUGGAUGCCCUGGCAGUCAGAGGCGAUGAAGGACGUGCUAAUCUGCGAUAAGCGUCGGUAAGGUGAUAUGAACCGUUAUAACCGGCGAUUUCCGAAUGGGGAAACCCAGUGUGAUUCGUCACACUAUCAUUAACUGAAUCCAUAGGUUAAUGAGGCGAACCGGGGGAACUGAAACAUCUAAGUACCCCGAGGAAAAGAAAUCAACCGAGAUUCCCCCAGUAGCGGCGAGCGAACGGGGAGCAGCCCAGAGCCUGAAUCAGUGUGUGUGUUAGUGGAAGCGUCUGGAAAGGCGCGCGAUACAGGGUGACAGCCCCGUACACAAAAAUGCACAUACUGUGAGCUCGAUGAGUAGGGCGGGACACGUGGUAUCCUGUCUGAAUAUGGGGGGGACCAUCCUCCAAGGCUAAAUACUCCUGACUGACCGAUAGUGAACCAGUACCGUGAGGGAAAGGCGAAAAGAACCCCGGCGAGGGGAGUGAAAAAGAACCUGAAACCGUGUACGUACAAGCAGUGGGAGCACAGAGCAAUCUGUGUGACUGCGUACCUUUUGUAUAAUGGGUCAGCGACUUAUAUUCUGUAGCAAGGUUAACCGAAUAGGGGAGCCGAAGGGAAACCGAGUCUUAACUGGGCGUUAAGUUGCAGGGUAUAGACCCGAAACCCGGUGAUCUAGCCAUGGGCAGGUUGAAGGUUGGGUAACACUAACUGGAGGACCGAACCGACUAAUGUUGAAAAAUUAGCGGAUGACUUGUGGCUGGGGGUGAAAGGCCAAUCAAACCGGGAGAUAGCUGGUUCUCCCCGAAAGCUAUUUAGGUAGCGCCUCGUGAAUUCAUCUCUGGGGGUAGAGCACUGUUUCGGCAAGGGGGUCAUCCCGACUUACCAACCCGAUGCAAACUGCGAAUACCGGAGAAUGUUAUCACGGGAGACACACGGCGGGUGCUAACGUCCGUCGUGAAGAGGGAAACAACCCAGACCGCCAGCUAAGGUCCCAAAGUCAUGGUUAAGUGGGAAACGAUGUGGGAAGGCCCAGACAGCCAGGAUGUUGGCUUAGAAGCAGCCAUCAUUUAAAGAAAGCGUAAUAGCUCACUGGUCGAGUCGGCCUGCGCGGAAGAUGUAACGGGGCUAAACCAUGCACCGAAGCUGCGGCAGCGACGCUGAUGCGUUGUUGGGUAGGGGAGCGUUCUGUAAGCCUGUGAAGGUGUGCUGUGAGGCAUGCUGGAGGUAUCAGAAGUGCGAAUGCUGACAUAAGUAACGAUAAAGCGGGUGAAAAGCCCGCUCGCCGGAAGACCAAGGGUUCCUGUCCAACGUUAAUCGGGGCAGGGUGAGUCGACCCCUAAGGCGAGGCCGAAAGGCGUAGUCGAUGGGAAACAGGUUAAUAUUCCUGUACUUGGUGUUACUGCGAAGGGGGGACGGAGAAGGCUAUGUUGGCCGGGCGACGGUUGUCCCGGUUUAAGCGUGUAGGCUGGUUUUCCAGGCAAAUCCGGAAAAUCAAGGCUGAGGCGUGAUGACGAGGCACUACGGUGCUGAAGCAACAAAUGCCCUGCUUCCAGGAAAAGCCUCUAAGCAUCAGGUAACAUCAAAUCGUACCCCAAACCGACACAGGUGGUCAGGUAGAGAAUACCAAGGCGCUUGAGAGAACUCGGGUGAAGGAACUAGGCAAAAUGGUGCCGUAACUUCGGGAGAAGGCACGCUGAUAUGUAGGUGAAGUCCCUCGCGGAUGGAGCUGAAAUCAGUCGAAGAUACCAGCUGGCUGCAACUGUUUAUUAAAAACACAGCACUGUGCAAACACGAAAGUGGACGUAUACGGUGUGACGCCUGCCCGGUGCCGGAAGGUUAAUUGAUGGGGUCAGCGCAAGCGAAGCUCUUGAUCGAAGCCCCGGUAAACGGCGGCCGUAACUAUAACGGUCCUAAGGUAGCGAAAUUCCUUGUCGGGUAAGUUCCGACCUGCACGAAUGGCGUAAUGAUGGCCAGGCUGUCUCCACCCGAGACUCAGUGAAAUUGAACUCGCUGUGAAGAUGCAGUGUACCCGCGGCAAGACGGAAAGACCCCGUGAACCUUUACUAUAGCUUGACACUGAACAUUGAGCCUUGAUGUGUAGGAUAGGUGGGAGGCUUAGAAGUGUGGACGCCAGUCUGCAUGGAGCCGACCUUGAAAUACCACCCUUUAAUGUUUGAUGUUCUAACGUUGACCCGUAAUCCGGGUUGCGGACAGUGUCUGGUGGGUAGUUUGACUGGGGCGGUCUCCUCCUAAAGAGUAACGGAGGAGCACGAAGGUUGGCUAAUCCUGGUCGGACAUCAGGAGGUUAGUGCAAUGGCAUAAGCCAGCUUGACUGCGAGCGUGACGGCGCGAGCAGGUGCGAAAGCAGGUCAUAGUGAUCCGGUGGUUCUGAAUGGAAGGGCCAUCGCUCAACGGAUAAAAGGUACUCCGGGGAUAACAGGCUGAUACCGCCCAAGAGUUCAUAUCGACGGCGGUGUUUGGCACCUCGAUGUCGGCUCAUCACAUCCUGGGGCUGAAGUAGGUCCCAAGGGUAUGGCUGUUCGCCAUUUAAAGUGGUACGCGAGCUGGGUUUAGAACGUCGUGAGACAGUUCGGUCCCUAUCUGCCGUGGGCGCUGGAGAACUGAGGGGGGCUGCUCCUAGUACGAGAGGACCGGAGUGGACGCAUCACUGGUGUUCGGGUUGUCAUGCCAAUGGCACUGCCCGGUAGCUAAAUGCGGAAGAGAUAAGUGCUGAAAGCAUCUAAGCACGAAACUUGCCCCGAGAUGAGUUCUCCCUGACCCUUUAAGGGUCCUGAAGGAACGUUGAAGACGACGACGUUGAUAGGCCGGGUGUGUAAGCGCAGCGAUGCGUUGAGCUAACCGGUACUAAUGAACCGUGAGGCUUAACCUU
rnacentral:rRNA from 1 species